rnacentral:rRNA from 1 species
UAAGCCUGUGAAGGUGUGCUGUGAGGCAUGCUGGAGGUAUCAGAAGUGCGAAUGCUGACAUAAGUAACGAUAAUGCGGGUGAAAAACCCGCACGCCGGAAGACCAAGGGUUCCUGUCCAACGUUAAUCGGGGCAGGGUGAGUCGACCCCUAAGGCGAGGCAGAAAUGCGUAGUCGAUGGGAAACGGGUUAAUAUUCCCGUACUGGUGAUAAUUGCGAUGGGGGGACGGAGAAGGCUAGGCUAUCCGGGCGACGGUUGUCCCGGUUUAAGGAUGUAGGCAGGUGAAUUAGGCAAAUCCGGUUCACUACAUGCUGAGGUCCGAUGACGAGUCACUACGGUGAUGAAGUAGCUCAUGCCCCGCUUCCAGGAAAAGCCUCUAAGCUCUAGAUUAUCAUUAAUCGUACCCCAAACCGACACAGGUGGUCAGGUAGAGAAUACUCAGGCGCUUGAGAGAACUCGGGUGAAGGAACUAGGCAAAAUGGUGCCGUAACUUCGGGAGAAGGCACGCUGGCAUUAGGUGAAGUGGUUUACCCAUGGAGCUGAAGCCAGUCGCAGAUACCAGCUGGCUGCAACUGUUUAUUAAAAACACAGCACUGUGCAAACACGAAAGUGGACGUAUACGGUGUGACGCCUGCCCGGUGCUGGAAGGUUAAUUGAUGGGGUUAUCCGUAAGGAGAAGCUCUUGAUCGAAGCCCCAGUAAACGGCGGCCGUAACUAUAACGGUCCUAAGGUAGCGAAAUUCCUUGUCGGGUAAGUUCCGACCUGCACGAAUGGCGUAAUGAUGGCCAGGCUGUCUCCACCCGAGACUCAGUGAAAUUGAACUCGCUGUGAAGAUGCAGUGUACCCGCGGCAAGACGGAAAGACCCCGUGAACCUUUACUAUAGCUUGACACUGAACAUUGAGCCUUGAUGUGUAGGAUAGGUGGGAGGCUUUGAAGUGUGGACGCCAGUCUGCAUGGAGCCAACCUUGAAAUACCACCCUUUAAUGUUUGAUGUUCUAACGUUGCCCCAUUAUCUGGGGUGCGGACAGUGUCUGGUGGGUAGUUUGACUGGGGCGGUCUCCUCCCAAAGAGUAACGGAGGAGCACGAAGGUUGGCUAAGCAUGGUCGGACAUCAUGCGGUUAGUGCAAAGGCAUAAGCCAGCUUGACUGCGAGAGUGACGGCUCGAGCAGGUACGAAAGUAGGUCUUAGUGAUCCGGUGGUUCUGAAUGGAAGGGCCAUCGCUCAACGGAUAAAAGGUACUCCGGGGAUAACAGGCUGAUACCGCCCAAGAGUUCAUAUCGACGGCGGUGUUUGGCACCUCGAUGUCGGCUCAUCACAUCCUGGGGCUGAAGUAGGUCCCAAGGGUACGGCUGUUCGCCGUUUAAAGUGGUACGCGAGCUGGGUUUAGAACGUCGUGAGACAGUUCGGUCCCUAUCUGCCGUGGGCGUUGGAAGAUUGAAAGGGGCUGCUCCUAGUACGAGAGGACCGGAGUGGACGCACCACUGGUGUUCGGGUUGUCAUGCCAAUGGCAUUGCCCGGUAGCUAAGUGCGGAAGAGAUAACCGCUGAAAGCAUCUAAGCGGGAAACUUGCCUUGAGAUG